rnacentral:rRNA from 1 species
CCUACGGGUGGCAGCAGUGGGGAAUAUUGCACAAUGGGGGUAACCCUGAUGCAGCGACGCCGCGUGAGCGAGGAAGUAUUUCGGUAUGUAAAGCUCUAUCAGUAGGGACGAAAAAAGACGGUAGCUGACUAAGAAGCCCCGGCUAACUACGUGCCAGCAGCCGCGGUAAUACGUAGGGGACAAGCGUUAUCCGGAUUUACGGGGUGUAAAGGGAGCGUAGGCGGGAAGUUAAGUCAGAAGUGAAAGGGCAGGGCUCAACCCUGUACAUGCUUUUGGACCUGUGGUGCUUGAGUGCAGGUGAGGUAAGUGGAAUUCCUAGUGUAGCGGUGAAAUGCGUAGAUAUUAGGAGGAACACCAGUGGCGAAGGCGGCUUACUGGACUGUAACUGACGUUGAGGCUCGAAAGCGUGGGGAGCAAACAGGAUUAGAUACCCGAGUAGUC